UCUGCUGUUUACCAAUAAACAUGAUUCUAAGGCACUUAAACUUGUUGGAAGAUUUUAGAUUUAUCAGUAGAGUUUUCAACACGCUGAUUUUUUAGGAGAGUUCUUGUAAAUGCAAUAGAUGGCAAAAUUAAAAACAUUUAAUUGACUAAUUUUCAUUAAUUGUUCCUUCCAUGUAAUCAUUUAGUUUGCACUUUAAUUAUAGAUAAGAAACCCAGAGCGCUCUGAAACUCACAGUAUUAGCCAAUCAGAAGAAGGGGGUGGGUCUUAGGAAAUCGUGUACUGCCUCCUCUCCUGCUCAAGUCGCCAGAUAGAUUGUGGGAAAGUCACCUUGCGCCGUUCACGGCUCCAUUCAACUGAGAGACGUGCUUAAAAUCAAAAAAUGAAACUGUGUUUGGAGAGAAGGAAGAUGAAGAAAACUGAAUUGAAUGGAGUGGGCACAAUGCAGUUCAUGAACUCCAGUAAAAAGGUGCUACGCAAACAUGAAUUAGACCCUGGUCAUCAAGCUGCUGUUCAUGCAGCUGCGCACACUAUACGUUUGCCGGUAACUAUGGCAACAGCUGAUUUACCAGCGUCAAUCACUGACCGUGUAUGCAAGUUAGAAUUAAGGGUUUGUACUUCCCUCACCGAACACAACCUCAGUCACACUAGAUAUAGAUGCACUUUUGCCAUCUUCUGUCCAUUUUUGGUGUUGGAAUUUUAGAAGUCAAAUUUAGUCUUCAAUCAUUCAUACAAUCUCUGAUCCAAUGCCCCCACACCCCCCACAGGUGCGAUGUUUAAUCACAUCUGAUAUUUCAGCUGUGCUGAGGCUUUUAUUGUGUUUUGUCAAAUGUUUAAAAAUAAAGUUAAGAAGUACAUAAUAAGGUUUGAUCAUAUCUUCUGGCCCUAAUAUCCACUUAACAGCUCCUCUUCCGUAGUGAAAUGUUCGUUUUGACUUGGUUCAAGUUCAGGGAUUUCUGUAAUUAGCAAAAACCUGCUGUCUGUUAUUAAAAUGAAGCUUACUCUACGCUAUGUUGAUAGGAGUGUUAGUGCACUAUUAAAGCAUUUUGUAUGCCAUGGUGAAUCAAUG